rnacentral:rRNA from 1 species
CAACUUGAGAGUUUGAUCCUGGCUCAGAACGAACGCUGGCGGCAGGCUUAACACAUGCAAGUCGAACGCCCCGCAAGGGGAGUGGCAGACGGGUGAGUAACACGUGGGAACGUCCCCCUCGGUUCGGAAUAACUCA